rnacentral:rRNA from 1 species
GCACGGGUGCGCAACGCGUAUAGAAUCUGCCUUGUACUGGGGAAUAGCCCAGAGAAAUUUGGAUUAAUGCCCCAUGGUAUGUAACUGUGGCAUCACUAUUACAUUAAAGGUUACGGUACAAGAUGACUAUGCGUCCCAUUAGUUAGUUGGUAAGGUAACGGCUUACCAAGGCAGCGAUGGGUAGGGGCCCUGAGAGGGGGAUCCCCCACACUGGUACUGAGACACGGACCAGACUCCUACGGGAGGCAGCAGUGAGGAAUAUUGGACAAUGGGCGGGAGCCUGAUCCAACCAUGCCGCGUGCAGGAAGACGGUCCUAUGGAUUGUAAACUGCUUUUGUACGGGAAGAAUAAGGGCUACGUGUAGUCUGUUGACGGUACCGUAAGAAUAAGGAUCGGCUAACUCCGUGCCAGCAGCCGCGGUAAUACGGAGGAUCCGAGCGUUAUCCGGAAUCAUUGGGUUUAAAGGGUCCGUA